GGCCCCUUUCUUUCCUAAGGAGUAGAGGGAGCUGCUGGCCCGAAUGAUCCCACAGCUUCUCAAUCCAACCUUCCUUAUUCCGUUUCGAGAGGAUCCACUGAGCUGCUUGGCAGCCAAGGGUUUUCCAGAGGACGGAUAGAUGUGAGAAAAACUGAAAUAACGAAAUGCAAAUUUAAAUGUUAAAUGUCCAAGGGCCACACGUACGGAGCUCGAUUCAAUUUCUGUAACACACUCUAGCUAGCUGAUUUUGUGGGCACACUUUGCGUCUCUGAAAGAAGAAAGAAAGAGUACGAAUCAGGUCAGUAUUUUUUCCUUCAAGGGAAACAACAUAGAAAAUAAGAAUUUCAGGCAAACAAUACGAAAUGUAGGGCAUAUGUCAUACAUUUCUGCCACAGUGACCCCUCGAAAUUUAAAACUUUUCUGCACCCAACUAUAGUUCAAGCAUGGGUAAACAUUGCCCUCUGCUGUUGCCUGUCAAUACUACAACUUGACUUGCUUUUCUUUCUUCAAUUGGAUGCAGACUCAGAAGUAUCUGGUUACCAGGCUAAUUCCUCAUUCUUGCCUGGAGAUAGUGGAAAAGAAAAAAGAUCCUUUGGGAUCUCUUAGUACCUCUCCUUAUUGAAGGUAAAAUAUUAAUCGGAAGAAGACUAACCACAAGGCAGACAACAAAAUCAGGUCCUGAUCAUGCAAACAGCCUGUAUCACCCAAAUCCGACAUAUAAAAUCUAGUUCUAAAACUAUUGUCACCAAUUCCUUUGUUUAGAUCAGUUCAUUCACUUCUGCAGAGCCUUUCUCUGUAACAUAAUAAUGAGUGAACUGGUAACAGACUAGAACAUUAAUUUAACCCUUUAUUUUUCAAAUUGUUAAAAUACUGAAAACCUUAGAGGCUAUUUUUAAAAAUGCAUUUUUAAGCCUUUAGUCAAAAUCUUCCCUCUACUAGCAAGUUAUCCUCUUUUGUAUAAUUAUUUUGGUAUAAUUUCACCAUGAAAGAUUUUUAGAUGAAUUAAAAUGAAGCUGAUAUUUUCACACAUCAUUGUUACAUGUGAUUUUUAAGUAGUACUCUUUUUGUGUGUUUGGAUUGUUUAAUGCCCUUGAGUCGUAACUCCAAAUCCUAGCAUCCUGGUAUACAACAGAACAAAAGACUGCCAGGCGCUGCUUUUUUUUGCUAAUGUAGCAUAAUUCAAUCUUCUGAAAUAUCCAUCCAGAUACUCAGAUAUUAAUUACAGAUGAGAGCUUGUGUAGACAGUGUGUGGAGUAACCUUUAGAUUUAGUCUUUUUGUUAAGAAUUGCGUUCUUUAUGAGUGAACUUAUUUUAGUAGGUGGAAAUCACUCAGUCAAAUCUGCAACCUUGAGACUGUUUAAUCUGGGCAUCACAGUGUUUUACUUUUUAAAGAUGAGAUGUAGCUAAACAAAUACAUAAUACAGACAAUAUGUACAUAUUAAGGGCAUAGAAUAUUUUGGGGUCAAUUCCAAAAGAAGAUUAUCAAAACAUAUGUAGCUGGUGUUAAAAUUAUUUGAAUAAACACAAGUUUUACAUGA